rnacentral:rRNA from 1 species
UACGAAGGGUGCAAGCGUUACUCGGAAUUACUGGGCGUAAAGCGUGCGUAGGUGGUUCGUUAAGUCUGAUGUGAAAGCCCUGGGCUCAACCUGGGAAUGGCAUUGGAUACUGGCGACCUAGAGUGCGGUAGAGGGGUGUGGAAUUCCCGGUGUAGCAGUGAAAUGCGUAGAUAUCGGGAGGAACAUCUGAGGCGAAGGCGACACCCUGGACCAGCACUGACACUGAGGCACGAAAGCGUGGGGAGCAAACAGG